AUGGCGUGCCAAAUGGUGCCAUGUCCACACCCGGGAUCCGAACCAGCGAACCAUGUGCCGCAAGAAGCCAAAGGUGCGAACUGAACUGCUGCGCCACCGGGCUGGCCCCAUGAUUGAGGUAUUUUUAUUUCUGCAUUUUUCAGACUAUUCUAUUGAUGGUUCUCAUUGUCCAAAGUAGUGGCUGCCCUGAUGAUGCUUACUGGAUUCUAGACCUCUGGGUUCUCAUUGUCAUAAAGGGACCAUGAGUUAAUGGCUCAGGACUCUGCAAGAUCAGGAGUUGGAACUAAAUCUCUUUUAUCAUCACUGCUAGACUGGACUAGAAAAAAGUGAUCUACCAUCAGGAAAGGGAAAUAAGAAGGACACUGUCCAUCUAGGGUCGGCCUCUGGAAGGGAAAAAAUUCUCCCUUGAGAAUCCACGUCCUGCUCUCAGAUGGAGUAUCCCAUAAUUUACCCUGCAUUAUUGAGGUGAUUGGCAAAUGUCAGGUGGUUCUUUACACUGGGGAUGGAAGGCUCAGUCCCAUCUGGUGAAGUUUCACAAGAGAGUAGCAUCUGUAAGUGCCAUGUUCCAGUGGGAGAGUGGAAGCUGCAGACAUCCACACUGAGAUCCUCGUCUGCUAAAAAACAGGAGCUCCUCCACUAAGAUCAAAGCAAGAGGUGAUUUGUCACCAGCAUCUCUGCACAUCCCUCCAUUUCUGUUCUGCAUUAUUUCUUAUCCAAUUAGCCAAUAAAGGACAAGGUGCUUUUCUUCUAAUCGUUCUCCUUUUGAAGAGUUUCAUUGUAAACCGCACAAAAGAAUCUUAGAAAACCAGGCUAGAGAGAGAAACACCUGAGAUGACACCCCCCUGUUGUUUCUUCUGUGCCCCUUUUCAGACUGGCUGCACUGGCUGGGAUCACAUAAUAUUUUCAUUUAUUCAGUAGUGUGAAAGCUUGGAUCUUGGAAUAACGAAUGUGCUUAACUACCCAUGGCACACCACAAGGAGCAUUAUUAUGACAUAUUAUGAAAAGUGGAAGUAUAAAUUGCUCUGGCACAAGGAGGAAACUCCAUCUCUCCUAGAGAGUAACAGUAGCCUACUUCAAUAGAACUGGUCAGGGAGUUGCUUUUCAAUAAUACUCCAGAGUCCUUGGCGUUAGUCAGAAAUUAUCUUUUCUUGCAGUGUCAUUCAUUUCUAAGUGUACUGCAAAGCACUUGUAGCACUGCUGGAACUUGUAGCUUUAUUAUAGAUUUGGUUCAUUAGCUAGAAAAAAACAUUAAGAGCCACAGUAUUUUCUUUGGUUAAAGAAGAAUAAACUUCAGUCCGUUAGUAUUUUCCACCACUCCCAUACAACAUUCACAGUGUUCAGAUGCUAUGAAAAUAAUAAUUCCACUCUGCUUUGAAAUUAGAAGCAUUUAUUAAAUUGUGGAAAUAAUUGUUACUUAUUUAAGAGGUUGCUGGAAGGUCCAGUGAUCAGGAGAAAAAGUAUGUGCUAAUGUUUGUAAACUGUAAAAAAGUAUGCAAACUUAAGGCUUAAAUGCAAUGUUGGUUCUUUAUAUCCUUCAAAGAUCCUCGCAUAUAAAAAUCCUAAGAUGUUUGUCAAUUGUCUAAAAUAUUUGGUCCAAAGGACCUUGGUAGUCAAAAGAGACGCUAAAGUCAUUAAUUACAUUUAAAUAAACAUUAGAAACAUAUAUACAGGAUAUAACGGCCCCAAUCCAUUUGGAGCUUGCUACAAUUUGGUAUCACAUCUUGAAAGUUUUUUUUUUUUUUGAUAAUUUACUUGAACCAUCUAAAUCCAUUUGACAUAAUUCACAUCCCUAGGAGAAGACUUUAAAAAUUAAAUGACUCAAAACCCUUCAUAAAUGUUUGAAGCUUUAAAAUGUUAUUUUUUCCCCUCUGACUCUAUUGAUUGGGUUAGGCUGAGGGGACUGUAGAAAUUAAAAAGAUCUCGGUCUAAUACUGUGUCUUAUUUUACAUACUUCCAGCAGGACUUAUGAAAAAUUCUUGCACCACUCACUGUGAGAAUAUGAGGCUGCGCUGCUGCUUCAGAUGUGAAGCAAACCAUUUGGUGUUUCACUAAAUUCUGGAUGUAAUGUUUUUCUUAUUAGAUUGAUUGUCAGGAACUUCAUUUUAUGUGUAACAAGAUAGAAGUUGGAAACUUGUGUUAUCUGACUGAUUUUCUGAUUUGCCCCACCACAUGGCACAGUCAACAAUUAGAUUAGCUGUUUCAAAGAGUUUCACCAUUCCAAAUCUCCACAUCGCCACUUGGGAAGAAGCAAGCCAAGUUGGGGGUGGGGGAGGGUAGUUGCUAUGGUGACGAGGCCUGUGGGCAUAAACACACUGCCCCACCAGUAACCAUCUCUUUUGAAUUUUAGUCAUUUGGCUACAGUAAGGAAAAAGAAAAAUGCAUGCCUUGGAGACCUUUGCCAACAUAUAUAAGAAGUUCAGCUACCUGAGCCAGUAUGCUGGAGAGACCACAUGGAAAGACCAUAUAGAUAUAGACAGAGAUGCUCAAGAAAUGCCAACUGUUCCAGCCUCAGCUCUUUGAGUCUUCCCAGCAUCAACUGCCAAAUAUUUGAGUGAGAAAACCCUCAGAUGGUUAUAGCGCCAGCCUUCCAGCCAAGCUGGCUAAGGCCAGGUGGUACAGAAAUGAGCUGUCCCCACUAAGCUCUGCCCAAAUUACAGAUACAUGAGCAGAAUAAAUAUUGUUACUCUUGUGUGAUAGGCAUAAUAAUGGCCUCCCAAAGAUGUCGAUAUCCUGCUCCCUGGAGUCUAUGAAUAUGUUAGGUUAUAUGGCAAAGGGGAAUUAAGGUUGCAGAUGGAAUUAAAUUUGUUAAUUAGUUGACCUCAAGAUAGGGAGAUUAUCCUGGAUUAUCCAGGUGGGCCAAUGUAAUCAUAAGGGUCCCUAAAAAGGGAAGAGGGAGGCAGAAGAAGAGAAUCAGAAGGAGACAUGAGCACAGAAGAAUGGUCAGAGAGAUGCAACAUCACUGACUUUGAAGAUGGAGGGGAGGGACCAUGAGCCAAGUAAUGUGGGUAGCCUCUAGAAGCUGGAAAAGGCAAGGAAACGGAUUCUUUCCUAGAAUCUCCAGAAAGAAAUGCAGCCCCACUAACACCUUGAUUUUAGCCUAAGAUCUAUGUGAGACUCUUGACCUCCAGAACUUUAAGAUAAUAAAUUUGUGUUAUUUAA